rnacentral:rRNA from 1 species
GUGAAGCCGACAGGCGUAGCCGAUGGACAACUGGUUAAUAUUCCAGUACUUUUUAUAACUGCGAUGCGGUGACGGAGUAGUGACACUGACGCGAACUGACGGAAUAGUUCGUUAAAGGCCGUAGGUAUAUGGACUGUAGUAAAGUACGCAGACCAUGCUGAAAGCUGAUAGUACUUGAAACCUUCGGGGGACGAGAUAGUUCAGGUAAUCAGACUUCCAAGAAAACCCGCUAAGCUUCAGGUUAUAAAAACCCGUACCGUAAACCGACACAGGUAGUCGAGGAGAGAAUCCUAAGGUGCUCGAGUGAAUCAUGGCUAAGGAACUCGGCAAAAUGGCCCUGUAACUUCGGGAGAAGGGGCGCUGUCAGCAAUGGCAGCCGCAGUGAAAAGGCCCAGGCGACUGUUUAACAAAAACACAUGGCUUUGCAAAAUCGAAAGAUGACGUAUAAGGCCUGACACCUGCCCGGUGCUGGAAGGUUAAGAGGGGAUGUUAGGAGCAAUUCGAAGCAUUGAAUCGAAGCCCCAGUAAACGGCGGCCGUAACAAUAACGGUCCUAAGGUAGCGAAAUUCCUUGUCGGGUAAGUUCCGACCUGCACGAAUGGUGUAACGAUCUGGGCGCUGUCUCAGCCAUGAGCUCGGUGAAAUUGUGGUAUCGGUGAAGACGCCGGUUACCCGCAACGGGACGGAAAGACCCCAUGCACCUUCACUACAACUUAACAUUGAUAUCGGAUACAGGAUGUGUAGGAUAGGUGGGAGACUGUGAUCCAGCUUCGCUAGGAGUUGGUUAGUCAACGUUGAAAUACCACCCUUUCUGUAUUUGGUGUCUAACCCUGCAAAGCGGGGGACAUUGUUUGGCGGGUAGUUUGACUGGGGUGGUCGCCUCCAAAAAGGUAACGGAGGCUUUCAAAGGUAAGCUCAGUACGCUUGGUAACCGUACGCGGAGUGCAAUAGCAUAAGCUUGCUUGACUGUGAGGCAGACAAGCCGAGCAGGGUCGAAAGACGGAUAUAGUGAUCCGGUGGUUCUGCAUGGAAGGGCCAUCGCUCAAAGGAUAAAAGGUACGCUGGGAUAACAGGCUGAUCUCCCCCAAGAGCUCAUAUCGACGGGGAGGUUUGGCACCUCGAUGUCGGCUCGUCACAUCCUGGGGCUGGAGAAGGUCCCAAGGGUUGAGCUGUUCGCUCAUUAAAGUGGCACGCGAGCUGGGUUCAGAACGUCGCGAGACAGUUCGGUCCCUAUCUGUUGUGGGCGCAGGAAGUUUGAGUGGGGCUGACCUUAGUACGAGAGGACCGGGUUGGACUAACCUCUGGUGAAUCUGUUAUGGCGCCAGCUGUAUUGCAGAGUAGCUACGUUGGGAAUAGAUAAGCGCUGAAAGCAUCUAAGUGCGAAACUAGCCACAAGAUGAGAUUUCCAUUGAGGGUCGUAGGAGACUACUACGUUGAUAGGUUACAGGUAUAAAGGUGGUGACAUCAUAGCCGAGUAAUACUAAUUGCCCA